rnacentral:tRNA from 1 species
GGGCCUAUAGCUCAGCUGGUUAGAGUGCACGCCUGAUAAGCGUGAGGUCGAUGGUUCGAGUCCAUUUAGGCCCA